AGAGUUUGAUCCUGGCUCAGGACGAACGCUGGCGGCGUGCCUAAAACAUGCAAGUCGAACGGUGUAGCAAUACACAGUGGCGAACGGCGGAGUAAUACAUAAGAAACGUGCCCUGAAGACCGGGAUAGUCAUUGGAAACGAUGGGUAAUACCGGAUGUGGUCACUCUCUGGCAUCAGAGGGUGAUUAAAUGGUUUUUCGCUUCAGGAGCGUCUUAUGGCCUAUCAGGUAGUUGGUGGGGUAAUGGCCUACCAAGCCGACGACGGGUAGCGGGUCUGAGAGGAUGAUCCGCUCGAGUGGGACUGAGACACGGCCCACACACCUACGGGUGGCAGCAGUUGGGAAUCUUGCACAAUGGGGGAAACCCUGAUGCAGCGACGCCGCGUGGAGGAUGACGGGUCUAGGCCUGUAAACUCCUUUUAACGGGAAAGACUUAGGACGGUACCCGUUGAAUAAGGACCGGCUAACUACGUGCCAGCAGCCGCGGUAAGACGUAGGGUCCAAGCGUUGUCCGGAUUUACUGGGCGUAAAGAGCGCGUAGGCGGUCUGUUAAGUGUGAAGUGAAAUCUCCAGGGCUCAACCCGGAAACUGCUUCGCAUACUGGCAGACUGGAGGGAUGCAGAGGUUUGUGGAAUUCCUGGUGUAGCGGUGAAAUGCAUAGAUAUCAGAGGAACACCCAUGGCGAAGCAGCAAACUGGGCAUCAUCUGACGCUGAGGCGCGAAAGCGUGGGUAGCAACAGGAUUAGAUACCCUGGUAGUCCACGCCCUAAACGAUGGAUACUAGGCGUAAGAGUAUCGACCCUCUGUGCCGCAGCUAACGCAUUAAGUAUCCCGCUGGGGAGUACGGCCGCAAGGUUGAACUCCAAUGG
rnacentral:rRNA from 1 species